UUUAAUAGUGCACGGUUUGCAUAUUAAUUAUAAUUAGUGUAGAAACAUUAGUGAAGAUUAGGGAUUAAUUAACUAUGAUGUUACAUCCCGUGUUCUCAUGCGUUGGAAAGUGUGCGAGUUAAAUGAUAUUAGUAACGGACACGAGGUUAUCCCCCAAGCUUAUAGGUGGUUAAAGUGAUGGUACGCAUGUAUCGUAAGGAUUUGAAGUUAAACCAAUCGAAGCAAAAUAAGUCUCGUCGAGGUUCAAAAUUUAUUUGAAUGGAAUACAGUCCAAGCUGUAAUAUCCCGUAUUUUUGGACUAGAAAAUUUAAUCGUCCAACAUGAGCAAAUUUACCCGAGCCCAGAGAAUUCGACCAUGUCGAAGGAUGAAAAUCAAGAGCUCGGUGUAUAUGAGGAAUGAAGUCCCAAAAUUAUUUAAGACGAAAAAGUGUGACGACGAUAAUUGAAAAUAAUAUUUUUUGUGUGUCAAUGGAGGCUAUGGAAGUGAUGUUAUAUUACAUGGUCAUGGUAAUGGGUAUAUGAAGUAUGUCAAAAGUGAUCAACAUUUACGUAAAUCAUGAUUAGGAAAUUAAUUAAGAUUGUUUGAUAAAAAUUAAGUGGACAUAUGUCAUGGAUAAGCGGAAGCAAGUCCAUUAUGUACAUAUACAUAAGCAAUAUUGUGUCACAAAUAUGAUAAGUAUCAAAAGGGAAGGGGUUGGCCAAUGAGUGCCACGUGUAAGAUUGGAAAGUGUAUAUAUUAUACUAAUCAAUAUCUAGUAUUCAAUUAGUGAAGUAGUGGCAGCAUUACACGUAUUGAAAUACAUGGGUACUAUGCAUAAAUGUGCCUUCUAUUCUUAUGAUAAGUGUCAUAAUGUAGAUCAAGUUGGGGCCACGUGUAAGGUAGAAAAUGUGUAAUUUAUGUCACUUAUUAUACUUUCUUGAGAAUUCACUUGGAAGGAAAAGUCAUGCAAGAUAUUUUGGUAGAAAGCAACGUGAGCUUCAGUUCUUAGCAGCAAUGUGAGUACCAAUUUUAUGGAAGCAAAGUAUAAUUUUUCUCAAGAACGACAUGCGAGUUUUGUCCACUAUUUUGAUCUCGUUGUUCCGUUUUGUCGUGUUGUUAAAAUUUAGAAUUUAUUCAAGGUGAAGUAAUGUGGAAUAAGAGCAUUUCUUGGCAUAUAAGGCUAAAGGGGCGACGAAGCAAGCUUGGCUACGGUAGAUCUACGACAGGUACAGAUAGUCGGUUUGGUGACCCUUCAGCAUAGGAGUUCUACUCAGCUGUCUUGGAGAGCUCCGUUGUUCCGGAGUUUAUACUUUUGGUACAGAUCUUAUGAUAUAUAUAUGUAUGUUCAUCCAGGGGUACGACGGGGCCCUAUCCCGUCAUAUUUCACUGUUAGUACUCUUAGAGGUCUGUAGACAUGUGUGUGGGUUGUGUAUAAGUUCUGUUAUGCGGUGUCUGUACGAUGUGUUAUGAUAUGAUGUUCAUGUGUAGUGGCAGCCUUGUCGGCUUGCGUAUCGUCUUAUGAUUUGAUCAGUUGUGACUCCUCAGGAGACAGUUUAUAUGAAUAUUCAUAUAUGACGACGUUAUGGACCGUUGGAAUUC